AGCUCCAAUAGCGUAUAUUAAAGUUGUUGCGGUUAAAGAGCUCGCAGUUGGAUUUCUGCUGAGGACGACCGGUCCGCCCUCUGGGCGAGUAUCUGGCUCGGCCUGGGCAUCUUCUUGGAGAACGUAGCUACACUUGACUGUGUGGUGCGAUAUCCAAGACCCUUACUUUGAGAAAAUUGAAAUGUUUCAAGCAGGCACGCGCCUUGAAUACAUUAGCAUGGAAUCCUAAGAUAGGACCUUGGUUCUUUUUUGUUGGUUUCUAGAGUUGAGGGAAUGAUUGAUAGGGAUGGUUGGGAGCAUUCGUAUUCAAUUGUCAGUGGUGAAAUUCUUAGAUGUGUUAAAGACGGACUACUGCGAAAGUAUUUGCCAAGGUUGUUU
rnacentral:rRNA from 1 species